rnacentral:pre_miRNA from 1 species
UCACUCAACUUGGGUGUGGCGCGUGAUUCAAAAAAAUGUCGUCACAACCUCCUUGAGUGAGUG